GCUGUGAUGAAAAAAUGUGGCUUUGAUCAAUUGUAAAAUGAUCUUGCCUGUGUAGUCCUCUAAGAAGUUCUGAGCUU